rnacentral:rRNA from 1 species
AGAGUUUGAUCAUGGCUCAGAUUGAACGCUGGCGGCAGGCCUAACACAUGCAAGUCGAGCGGUAGCACAAGAGAGCUUGCUCUCUGGGUGACGAGCGGCGGACGGGUGAGUAAUGUCUGGGAAACUGCCUGAUGGAGGGGGAUAACUACUGGAAACGGUAGCUAAUACCGCAUAACGUCUUCGGACCAAAGUGGGGGACCUUCGGGCCUCACGCCAUCAGAUGUGCCCAGAUGGGAUUAGCUAGUAGGUGGGGUAAUGGCUCACCUAGGCGACGAUCCCUAGCUGGUCUGAGAGGAUGACCAGCCACACUGGAACUGAGACACGGUCCAGACUCCUACGGGAGGCAGCAGUGGGGAAUAUUGCACAAUGGGCGCAAGCCUGAUGCAGCCAUGCCGCGUGUGUGAAGAAGGCCUUCGGGUUGUAAAGCACUUUCAGCGAGGAGGAAGGGUAGUGUGUUAAUAGCACAUUGCAUUGACGUUACUCGCAGAAGAAGCACCGGCUAACUCCGUGCCAGCAGCCGCGGUAAUACGGAGGGUGCAAGCGUUAAUCGGAAUUACUGGGCGUAAAGCGCACGCAGGCGGUUUGUUAAGUCAGAUGUGAAAUCCCCGCGCUUAACGUGGGAACUGCAUUUGAAACUGGCAAGCUAGAGUCUUGCAGAGGGGGGUAGAAUUCCAGGUGUAGCGGUGAAAUGCGUAGAGAUCUGGAGGAAUACCGGUGGCGAAGGCGGCCCCCUGGACAAAGACUGACGCUCAGGUGCGAAAGCGUGGGGAGCAAACAGGAUUAGAUACCCCGGUAGU